UACAGAGGUCUCAAGCGUUGUUCGGAUUCAUUGGGCGUAAAGGGCGCGUAGGCGGCCACCGCAAGUCGACUGUGAAAUCUCCGGGCUUAACCCGGAAAGGUCAACUGAUACUGCGGGGCUAGAGUGCAGAAGGGGCAACUGGAAUUCUCGGUGUAGCGGUGAAAUGCGUAGAUAUCGAGAGGAACACCUGCGGCGAAGGCGGGUUGCUGGGCUGACACUGACGCUGAGGCGCGAAAGCCAGGGGAGCGAACGGG
rnacentral:rRNA from 1 species